rnacentral:rRNA from 1 species
UAGGGAGUAUUGCGCAAUGGGGGCAACCCUGACGCAGCAACACCACGUGUGGGAUGUAGCCCUUCGGGGUGUGAACCACUGUCGGCGGGGAACAGAAGCCGAGCUAGACUCGGCCCGAGUGUACCCGCAGAGGAAGCACCGGCAAACUUCGUGCCAGCAGCCGCGGUAAUACGAGGGGUGCAAGCGUUGUUCGGAAUCACUGGGCGUAAAGGGAGCGUAGGCGGAGAAGCAAGCCGGGUGUCUAAUGCUGGGGCCCAACCCCAGCGCCGCACCCGGAACUGCUUCCCUUGGAUGGGCAAGGGGCAGGCGGAAUUCCUGGUGUAGCGGUGGAAUGCGUAGAUAUCAGGAGGAACACCGAGGGCGAAGGCAGCCUGCUGGGGCCACAUCGACGCUGAGGCUCGAAAGCGUGGGUAGCGAACAGG